GACGAACGCUGGCGGCGUGCUUAACACAUGCAAGUCGAACGGACCGGCCUCUUUCGGGGGGUACUCGAGUGGCGAACGGGCGAGUAACACGUGAGUAACCUGCCAUUGACUUUGGGAUAACUUCAGGAAACUGGGGCUAAUACCGGAUAGGCGCUCCUGCUGCAUGGUGGGGGUUGGAAAGUUUCGGCGGUUGGGGAUGGACUCGCGGCUUGUCAGCUUGUUGGUGGGGUAGUGGCUUACCAAGGCGUUGACGGGGAGUCGGUCUGGGAGGGUGACCGGCCACGGUGGGACUGGGAUUCGGCCCAGACUCCUACGGGAGGCAGCAGUGGGGAAAGUUGCACAAUGGGUGGAAGCCAGAUGCAGCAACGCCGUGUGCGGGAUGACGGCCUACGGGUUGGAAACCGCUUUCGCUCAUGACGAAGCUUUGUGUGACGGUAGUGGGUAAAGAAGCACCGGCUAACUACGUG
rnacentral:rRNA from 1 species